UCUUUUUUAUGAGAGUCUGACGGAGCACGCCGCGUGAGUGAUGAAGGCUUUCGGGUCGUAAAACUCUGUUGUUAGGGAAGAACAAGUGCUAGUUGAAUAAGCUGGCACCUUGACGGUACCUAACCAGAAAGCCACGGCUAACUACGUGCCAGCAGCCGCGGUAAUACGUAGGUGGCAAGCGUUAUCCGGAAUUAUUGGGCGUAAAGCGCGCGCAGGUGGUUUCUUAAGUCUGAUGUGAAAGCCCACGGCUCAACCGUGGAGGGUCAUUGGAAACUGGGAGACUUGAGUGCAGAAGAGGAAAGUGGAAUUCCAUGUGUAGCGGUGAAAUGCGUAGAGAUAUGGAGGAACACCAGUGGCGAAGGCGACUUUCUGGUCUGUAACUGACACUGAGGCGCGAAAGCGUGGGGAGCAAACAGGAUUAGAUACCCUGGUAGUCCACGCCGUAAACGAUGAGUGCUAAGUGUUAGAGGGUUUCCGCCCUUUAGUGCUGAAGUUAACGCAUUAAGCACUCCGCCUGGGGAGUACGGCCGCAAGGCUGAAACUCAGGAAAUUUUACGGGGAAAAAAGAAAAGGAAAAAGGAGGAAAUUUU
rnacentral:rRNA from 1 species